AACGCACCUUGCGCUCUCGGGCUAUUCCUGAGAGCAUGCUUGUUUGAGUGUCGCGUACCUCUCAACCCCGCCCUUUCCUUAAAACCGAAAGGGUCGAUUCGGGUUGGAUCAUGGCGCCCCUGUCGGUCCGCCGACUGCGCUGAAUUGCAGCAAGCCGAAUCCAUAGGCUAGGCGGCUUGACCCGUUGUCAUAAGCUCACACUUUCAAUGGGAACGCCAUCCGGAAUGGGCUUACCACAAAUCCAUCUUUUAUACAUUGACCUCAAAUCAAGUAGGACUACCCGCUGAACUUAA
rnacentral:misc_RNA from 2 species